GGCGAGUGAAGCGGCAAGAGCUCAGAUUUGAAAUCGCAGCGGCAACGCGGCGAGUUGUAGAUUGCAGGUGGGAGAGUUUGCGGGCGGCGGGCGUCGAAGUCCCUUGGAACAGGGCGCCACUGAGGGUGAGAGCCCCGUGCGAUGCCUGCCCAUGCUUUGAACUCCCCUCUGACGAGUCGAGUUGUUUGGGAAUGCAGCUCUAAGCGGGUGGUAAAUUCCAUCUAAGGCUAAAUACUGGCGAGAGACCGAUAGCGAACAAGUACUGUGAAGGAAAGAUGAAAAGCACUUUGAAAAGAGAGUGAAACAGCACGUGAAAUUGUUGAAAGGGAAGGGUAUUGGGCCCGACAUGGGAAUCGCGCACCGCUGCUCCUCGUGGGCGGCGCUCUGCGCUUUUCCUGGGCCAGCAUCGGUUUCCGCUGCAGGAGAAGGGGCUGUGGAAUGUGGCUGGCACGCUUGCGCGCCAGUGUUAUAGCCACGGGCCAGAUGCUGCGUGUGGGGACCGAGGGCUGC
rnacentral:rRNA from 1 species